rnacentral:tRNA from 2 species
GGGCGCUUAGCUCAGAGGUAGAGCGGCUGCUUUACACGCAGUUGGUCGGCGGUUCGAUCCCGUCAGCGCCCA